CUACCUCCAAAACGCUCUCCCUUCUCUCUAGAAUGGGAGAAAACCUCCAAAACUCAAACAAACCUGAUCCACCACCGAAACCACCGGAUUGCACCACUCCAAGUGGUGGAAAAUCAUCACCAACAACCACCCAAACAUCUCCUAUAACAAUAAUAUCAGAUUCAACCCCCAAGUCAAUAGAUCUAAGUUUGAAAAAUCAUGGCACGAAUCCCAAUGUCAUCGAAACACCCACUUCUGAUCAGAAUUUGGAUAUGGGACCACCACCAAUGAACUCAGAAGGCCCAAAAACCCCUGGGGUGGUGUCCUCGACGUCCAAUUUCGCCGGAAUUGAAANNNNNNNNNNNNNNNNNNNACUUUGGAAAAAGUGCAGCCCGAAACUGAUUUUGAAAUUAAUUCUCGUACGAAGCUCCAAAAGAUACACGCGCCACAUAUUCAGGAUGCCCAUGAAAUGGUGAACCUUCGGUCAAAAAAUCACGGCAAUCGGAGGUCGGACGCUCCUGUUACGGGACCAAACGUAAACGGGCAGUUUGUCGAAAAAUUGCGAUUUUCGGCCUCUACGGUUCUCACCUCGGGAAACGCGCCUGACCGCGUUAUUCAGCAUGGAAUUCCGCACAAGACUGUUGAAAAUCGUAAAAUUCUGACUCCGGUUGAUUUUGGCCGGAAAACGGAGCCGCUAGCGGCCGGCCGGCGGCAUUCCGGUGACCCUCCGGCAACUUUUGUCCAAAAUAUUCUUCCAGUUAAUCUAAAUCCAUUUUCGUCAUCGGUUUUCCCACAUGAGGCCCAGACAGUGCUCAAUCAGGGACGAAAGACCUAUGCUACUGCAGUUACUAGCCGUCCAAGCCUAUCUCAAGCUGAGCGGAGUUCACGGAAGUCGUUUACAUCGAUUACACAGGGUAUAGAUGACUCUUCCACUGCUGGGUUUGCUGCUAAAGAACCCUUUAUACAUAUGGGUGAGCCGGCAGUGAUUUUGACUGAGUCCGAGGAGGCUACACUUGCUGAUCCUUACAAGUAUACACUUGUGGGGAAAUUUCCACAUCGCAAGCCAACCAUGAAGAAGGUACGUGAGAAUUUUUCUAAGUUUGGGUUCCAUGGUUGUUUCGAGGUGGGACUGAUUGACACAACACACAUUCUUAUACACCUUACACAUGAGGAGGAUUACAGCAGGCUUUUUCUUAAACCUUCAUGGUAUAUUGACG
rnacentral:lncRNA from 1 species